rnacentral:rRNA from 1 species
UCAGUGGCGAACGGGUGAGUAACACGUGAGUAACCUGCCCCAGACUCUGGGAUAACCCCGGGAAACCGGAGCUAAUACCGGAUAUGACACGCCCCUGCAUGGGGAGUGUGUGGAAAGUUUUUCGGUCUGGGAUGGACUCGCGGCCUAUCAGCUUGUUGGUGAGGUAAUGGCUCACCAAGGCGACGACGGGUAGCCGGCCUGAGAGGGCGACCGGCCACACUGGGACUGAGACACGGCCCAGACUCCUACGGGAGGCAGCAGUGGGGAAUAUUGCACAAUGGGCGAAAGCCUGAUGCAGCGACGCCGCGUGAGGGAUGACGGCCUUCGGGUUGUAAACCUCUUUCAGCAGGGAAGAAGCGCAAGUGACGGUACCUGCAGAAGAAGCACCGGCUAACUACGUGCCAGCAGCCGCGGUAAUACGUAGGGUGCGAGCGUUGUCCGGAAUUAUUGGGCGUAAAGAGCUUGUAGGUGGUUUGUCGCGUCUGCUGUGAAAAUCCGAGGCUCAACCUCGGACUUGCAGUGGGUACGGGCAGACUAGAGUGUGGUAGGGGAGACUGGAAUUCCUGGUGUAGCGGUGGAAUGCGCAGAUAUCAGGAGGAACACCGAUGGCGAAGGCAGGUCUCUGGGCCAUUACUGACACU